GAUGAAGAACGCAGCGAAAUGCGAUAAGUAGUGUGAAUUGCAGAAUUCAGUGAAUCAUCGAAUCUUUGAACGCACAUUGCGCCCUUUGGUAUUCCUUAGGGCAUGCCUGUUCGAGCGUCAUUUAAACCUUCAAGCUAAGCUUGGUGUUGUGUGACUGUCCGCUUCACGGCGGACUCGCCUCAAAAUUAUUGGCGGCCGGUACAUUGGCUUCGAGCGCAGCAGAAACGCGAACUCGGGCCCGUCGUAUUGGCUCCCAGAAGCUAUCUUCACAAUUUUGACCUCGGAUCAGGUAGGGAUACCCGCUGAACUUAAGCAUAUCAAUAAGCGGAGGA
rnacentral:misc_RNA from 1 species